UCAAACACGGAUUCCCGUACGAUUAUCGAAGUCAAGCAAUGUCAAGCAUGGCUAGUACUUAGAUGGGUGACUGCUUGGGAAUACCAGGGGCUGUAA